CCUACGGGAGGCAGCAGUGAGGAAUAUUGGUCAAUGGACGCAAGCCUGAACCAGCCAUGCCGCGUGCAGGAAGACGGCUCUCUGAGUUUUAAACUGCUUUUGCACGAGGGUAAACGCAGAUACGCGUAUCUGUCUGAAAGUAUCGUACGCAUAAGGAUCGGCUAACUCCGGGCCAGCAGCCGCGGUAAUACGGAGGAUUCAAGCGUUAUCCGGAUUUAUUGGGUUUAAAGGGUGCGUAGGCGGUCGGAUAAGUUAGAGGUGAAAUCCCGGGGCUCAACUUCGGAAUUGCCUCUGAUACUGGUCGGCUAGAGAGUAGGAGCGGUAGGCGGAAUGUAUGGUGUAGCGGUGAAAUGCUUAGAGAUCAUGCAGAACACCGAUUGCGAAGGCAGCUUACCAGACUACUUCUGACGUUGAGGCACGAAAGCGUGGGGAGCAAACAGGAUUAGAUACCCUUGUAGUC
rnacentral:rRNA from 1 species